CUACGGGAGGCAGCAGUGAGGGAUAUUGCACAAUGGGGGCAACCCUGAUGCAGCGACGCCGCGUGGGUGAUGAAGGCCUUCGGGUCGUAAAACCCUUUUCUGGGUGACGAGUAAGGACGGUAGCACAGGAAUAAGUCUCGGCUAACUACGUGCCAGCAGCCGCGGUAAAACGUAGGAGACAAGCGUUAUCCGGAGUUACUGGGCGUAAAGGGCGUGCAGGCGGUUGACUAAGUUCGUCGUGAAAUCGCCCGGCUUAACCGGGCGGGGUCGAUGAAUACUGGUGAACUAGAGGACGGUAGAGGCGUGUGGAAUUCCGGGUGUAGUGGUGAAAUGCGUAGAUAUCCGGAGGAACACCAGUGGCGAAAGCGACACGCUGGGCCGUACCUGACGCUAAGACGCGACAGCAUGGGGAGCGAACGGGAUUAGAUACCCGAGUAGUCC
rnacentral:rRNA from 1 species